GACUUAAAAUUGGUGAAGUGUAGGUGAAGUUCUCGCUCUGCUACUUCCUGCCAGGUAGCUGCCAGGCUAGUCACCUUACCUCUCUGAGCCUCAAUAUCCUCAUCUAUCACAUGGGUGUACAGUAGCAUUAUUCUGAUGUUGUGUUGUAAGAUCUCAGAAGAAGAUACCCAAAAGGAAGGCCUCAGAAGCAAAAGUUUUUCUCUGACCUUAUCCUGUUCUGUCCUUGGCACCUCAUUCUGCCACUAGGCUAGCCACAGAAACUAGAGUCUCUGGCUAGGCAUGGUGGCUCAUGCAUGCACUUUGGGAGGCCAAGGCUGAUGGGUCACUUGAGGUCAGGAGCUUGAAAGCAGCCUGGCCAACAUGGUGAAACCCCGUCUCUACUAAAAAUGAAAAAAUUAGCUGGGCAUGGUGGCACAUGCCUGUAAUCCCAGCUACUCAGGAGCCUGAGGCACGAGAAUCACUUGAACCAGGGAGGUGGAUGUUGCAGUGAGCCGAGAUCAUGCCACUACACUCUACCCUGGGCAACAGACUAACAGACUGAGACUUGUCAAAAAAAAAAAAAGAAAGAAAAGAAGGAAGGAAGGAAAGAAGGAAGGGAGGGAGGGAAAGAGAAAAGAAAGAAAAGAGAGAAAGAGAAAGAAGAAAGAAAGAAAGAAAGAGAAAAAGAAAGAAAGAAAGAAAGAAAAAGUUAGAAGCUCUCAUCUCCAAGAGAGAUCAUAGAAACCAGAACCCCUUUUCUCCCAAAGCCCACCAUAAAACCUAAAAAUAUUACUCUAACCUUACCUCUCUACCCUCACCAGCCUUUUUGUGUAAAAACUGGCCUUAAAGAAGUUAUCUGACCUGUCUUAUUUAAUUGUAGGUUAUUGGAUCCUCAUUCCAGAGAGGGCCCUGCUCCAUACCCAGAAGGAAGGAAUGCUGCACAGAGAGGCCAAUAAGAAUCUAGACAGGGCUGGCUCAGUUUCCCCAGCCUGUGAGCAUUAGAUCACCCCUUUUUGUCCAAUCACUUUUCUACACAGCUGUCCAUACUUCGAACCUGAUCAUAAAAAUGGGCAGCGUCUUCUGUAUCUUUGGAUCUUCAUUCUGAAGUCUCCCAUGUCACAUACAACUCUGAUCAAAUACAUUUGUAUGCCUUUUCUCCUAUCAAUUUGCCUCUUGUCAGUGAUUUUCAGUGACUCUUUAAAGGGCAGAGGGGAAUUUCUUCCCCUGGUCCCUACAGUGUGAAAAUUAAACUGAAACAAUAUGAUAGUUUGUGAAUUGUAAAGUACUACAAAAAUGGGAGUUGCUACUAAUGCAAACUUUAAUAGGAAACCAGUGACAGACAUAAAGCAGGAAAUAGUUCUUCUUAGUUUGGAUCACAUAGUGUCAUGUGCAGACACACAAGACUAAUUCAGGAUACUUUGGUGGAGAGCCACAUUGAGGAUUUUCAUAAGUAAAGCAGACAAAUGGAGCUAGUUAUUCAUGGCCACAGUCCCUCUUAAUAGUUCCAGAGAAUAGGCUCAUCAAAGAAUAAUUUUAUGCUGGGCGCAGUGGCUCACACCUGUAAUCCUAGCACUUCAGGAGGCUGAGGUGGGUGGAUUGCCUGAGUUCAGGAGUUCGAGAACACCCUGGGCCACAUGGUGAAACCCUGUCUCUAUUAAAAUACAAAAAAUUAGCCGGGCUUAGUGGCGUGUGCCUGUAGUCCCAGCUACUCGGGAGGCUGAGGCAGGAGAACUGCUUGAACCUAGGAGGCAGAGACUGCAGUGAGCUGAGAUCACGCCAUUGUACUCCAGCCUGGGCAACAAGAGCAAAACUCCAUCUCAAAAAAAAAAAACAAUUAAUUUUAAUUUGUGAAUCUCAGUAGGAAAAGGUUUCAGAAGUAGAGUUAAAUGACCUACGUAGCCUCUUAAAUGGGCCUUCCCUUCUUCUGCCUUCACUGCCAUCUUUCCUGGAUCCCCUGUCCUCACGAAGUCGGGUCUGCAUGGGUCAUCAGGAACUCUCUUGCCCCAUCUGGCUCUUAUGAUACAGAAUUUUCUAGUGCUCACAGCCAGCCCUACAACUUUUUCUCAAAGUUCAGUUGCUGCUAGGCUCAGAUUUUCCCCACCUGAAAAACAGGGGUAGUGAAGUCCUUAACACACGUCUAAACAGAACAUUUUGGAAACACAGAAAGAUGACUAAUACUGCCUGGGAGAGGGGAAGACUUCACAAGGAAGCUAAUUUUAGAGCUAAGUCCUAAAAGUGAAGGAGGUGUUGCCAGCAGGUAAAGGGUUGGAAGGAACCCUGCUCCCUGUCCCCCAGUAGAGGUAACAGCCUGUGCCUUGGACAAAGGCCUCAAAGAGCUUGCUGUGCUCAUGAAACAGCAGGUAAUGGUCCUGCUGGAGUGAGGGCUACGUGGGGGUUGGGGGAGGGGCCUGGUAGUGCUGAAGCAGAAGGGGUUCGGGGGAAAGGGUCCCCUGGAGUCUGGCCAUGUGAGCCUGCGACCCCAACCACCUCCUACCCACCAUUUCUCCCACAGCUGCAAAGAGGCAUCACUUUUUUGUCCCAAAUGGAAGGUAAUUUUGUUAGAUGCAUUUUUCAGCCAACCUUUGAUAAGAGUUAAAAAUAACUUCCAAGGUGAACCCCCUGAUCAGUCUCCUCUUUUAUCUCCUCCUUUUCUUUAAACCUCGGCAUCUAUUAUGAGCCCUCCCCCAUCUUCCUCCCUGGGGACAGAGGGCCUCUCAUGCAAAUAAGACUCUGGUGGCCAGCUGUGACAGCCCAGAGUCACCAAGGGAUGCUCAGGCAUAUGGCCUCAGAAACAUGGGCUAUUGAGACAGAGAAAAAGACAACUCUGGAAGGAAAGAGCCUGGACUUACAGAAGACAUCUGAACUAUUAAUCAACAGAAAUCUCACGUAUAGUUGAAGAAUCAGAAAUCUGAGCGUAGGAAGAAGUGGGUUAGCCCUGGAGAAAGGAAAAGGAGGAUCAUAGUUCUCUGCAAAGAGCUGGAAGCUAAAAAGCAGGCUGUGUUUACUUACCAACCAGGACACAGUGGGAUCUUUGCCAGCUUCCAAUAUGGCCUUAAAAGUAUAUGAAAUCCAAGAAAUAUUUCUGCAAAGCAAGAGAUCUUCACUGCUUUAUUUUCCACCACCUGAAUCCUUGCAGUGAGUGUAGUGUGUAUCUAAUCAAUCUAUUAAAAAAUACUUCAAAAGUUCUAUAUAUGUAUCAAUAUUUAAUAUUGUUUUUACAUUAUUUAAAUGUUUUUCUAAAUAAUAUUAUAGUAUAUAUAUUCUGAAGCAUUCUAUUCAGUGACAAAGAAUUAUGUUUAGACAUUUACAUUUAUAUAGGAAAACUCAUAACCUGAAUAUGUCCUGUGGGAUCAAACCACUGACCCUUCCAGGGUGGAAGAGACCUAAGGUAGUCAGCUUCCAUCAAGCGGCCAGUUGGUCUCAUUGAGGAAUGGUGUCACAUCAAGGGCUUAGUGUUGGUCUCUGUUGCGAUAUAUCAGACAUUUGAUAAUGGCAGCAGCUGGAUCAGUCUUGGUAAGGGUUGGAAGUAUAGUUAGUCUUCACUUUGCAUGGUCCCAAUAUGCACAAAUCCUAGUUACCACCAUUUAGUUAAAUCACACCAGAACCCCAACAACAUGGUUCAAAUUUCAGCUACAACGUUAUUAACUGUGCACAAUUACACAAAGUACAAACCUCACUGUCAGUUCUUUAGUCCACAAAUCACCGUGUAAAUAACAGAUGCAUAGCAUGAUCAAUAACCAAUCACACCUCUCCUUUCAAAGUCCACUAAUGAUUGGCCACUGCACAUAUGUUCAGUUCUUACACAGCAAAGCGUGUAGUUGUGUUGCUGAUUUUCCUGUGAAUGAAGCCACAUGAUGGUUUACAAUAAUGGAUACUCAAAAGAGGAAAUUGGCCAACAAAGAUGAAAGCGCAGAAAACAGUCCAAAAAGUAGUAAUGCUAGAAAUGAACUCCAAAUUGAAUGAGUUACAGAAAAACAGUUCACUGUGAGAAUGUGGCCACUGCAUCAUUCAAGAGGAUAUGCAGCCAGAGGAACUUAGCAAAGGCAAACUUAACAUAAAUGAGGAAGGAAGUGUGGCAAAAAGCAUGCUGUCUCAGAGGAAGCGGUCCUGGCAGAAACUUCACAUUGAAGCAACUCUGGGAAAUUUUUCAUGACGCUGAAAACACAAAGGAUAAAAUGUUGGGAGCUGAUCCAGUCUUAGAAAGGAGAACAAUUCAUCACGUCAGAGAAAAGAUGCUCUCUCCAUGUCGUAAGUUACACAAGAAGCCAGGUGCGGUGGCUCAUGCCUGUAAUCCCAGCACUUCGGGAGGCCGAGGCGGGUGGAUCACCUGAGAUCAGGAGUUCGAGACCAGUCUAACCAACAUGGAGAAACCCCAUCUCUACUUAAAAAAAAACAAAACAAAACAAAAUUAGCUGGGUAUGGUGGUGCAUGCCUGCAAGGGAGGAGACCACCCCUCAUAUUGUCUUAUGCCCAAUUUCUGCCUCCAAAGAAAGAAGAAGUAAAAACUAAAAGUCAGAAAUGGAAUUCACAAGCAGACAGCCUGGUGCCACACUCUGGGUCUGGUAGUUAAAGAUCAACCCCUGACCUAAUUGUUUAUUUGCAUAAGAAAAAGCACUGUGAAGAUCCCUGUCCUGUUCUGUUCCAUUCUAAUUACCGGUACAUGCAGCCCCCAGUCAUGUACCCCCUGCUUGCUCAAUCGAUCACGACCCUCUCACGUGGACCCCGUUAGAGUUGUGAGCCCUUAAAAGGGACAGGAAUUGCUUACUCAGGGAGCUUGGUUGUUGGAGACAUGAGUCUUGCCGAAGCUCCUGGCCGAAUAAAGCCCUUCCUUCUUUAA